UUGUUUUGGUUACACAUUUUAAAUUCAGACGUGGCUAUUUUAAAUAAAGAAAUUAAAAACUUAGUCAAAUAAUAGAUGUGACAAAGAGAAAGAGAAUUUUUCAUUGUAAAAUAUCUGGAAAGACUGGCUGUUUCACUAACAUUUAUUGCUCUGUUUAAUGCUUUCUGUAAAAGUCAUUUAUCUGUGUGCUGGGAUCAUGCUUGAUGUAUAUUCCUGAAAAAACUUUAGCAAAUGGAAUUUUGUAACAAGUGUUUUAUUUGUGUUUUCAAAAUCCAUAAGGCUUAAAAUAAAGUGAUCUUAAUAUUGCCAAUCUAACUGGACAUUAAAUAUUUACAAUAGCAUGUAUAAGCAUUUAUAAUAACUGUGUGUAAGCAUUAAAAUUUUCAUUUUAUGGAUUAAUCAUACCUGAUACAGAGUACAGAAAUGAGUUGACCUAUUUAUUAGGUUCUUGUAUGCUUCUGUAGCUUUUAGAUAUUGGAGAUGGCUCAGCUUUGUGUUACUGGCUCUUGAUUGCUGCCCUGUUAAUUACGGGCACUUCUCUGAUCUUAAUUUAGGACUUAACUGUCAGGAGAGCGCUGUCUUUACUUAUUGUUACUAUUACUGCGUACUUGGUUAUCCAGAUAGAAGUGAGUGUUGCGGUCUUGCUGCCUUUAGACCACUUGCAAAAACUUCAGUUCCUUUGUGAUGUGCUUGCUCAGGAGAGGUCCCAGCAGUGACAUCCUGGGCUGGAGGGGGUGAUUCCUAAAACCUUCACUGCUUUUAACAAGGACUACAGCCCCCUUGCUUGUGUAAGUACACAUCUGUGUGGGCAGAGUCACAAGAGAGGGGUCUAAGGAGGAGAGAACUUCAAAGUUUCAAACUGCACAGUUCACUGACAUGUAUAAUUCAGUUAUGAGAAUUGUGUACAAAUUCUUGUUGCAUUGAAUAAUUUCUGUGGAUUAUCUCCUGUAGUUCUUCACUGAAUGUCUUCAUUAUUUUUCUUAAUUAAAAAACAAAAAACCCUUUUUUGGUUCUCUCACUUUCCUAGAAUUUGCCAAUUGUUUGUAAUUUGACUUAGAUAUCUUGUUCCCUGUUUCUUGCUGGAUGGAACAUGAGUUGGGAAUGUGAGCAAUUAUUGUUUCAGGGUGUAAGAUUAAAUGGAAUAACACC
rnacentral:lncRNA from 1 species